GAUGAACGCUAGCGGCAGGCCUAACACAUGCAAGUCGAGGGGUAUCCCGCUUUCGGGCGGGAGAGACCGGCGCACGGGUGCGUAACGCGUAUGCAACCUACCCUGUACUGAGGGAUAGCCCGGAGAAAUUCGGAUUAACACCUCAUAGUACUAAUGAAUGGCAUCAUUUAUUAGUUAAAGGUUACGGUACAGGAUGGGCAUGCGUCCUAUUAGCUAGAUGGUAAGGUAACGGCUUACCAUGGCUACGAUAGGUAGGGGGCCUGAGAGGGUGGUCCCCCACACUGGUACUGAGACACGGACCAGACUCCUACGGGAGGCAGCAGAGAGGAAUAUUGGUCAAUGGGCGCAAGCCUGAACCAGCCAUGCCGCGUGCAGGAAGACGGUCCUAUCGAUUGUAAACUGCUUUUAUUUGGGAAUAAACCUCUUUACGUGUAGAGAGCUGAAGGUACCAAAUGAAUAAGCACCGGCUAACUCCGUGCCAGCCGCCGCCGUAA
rnacentral:rRNA from 1 species